rnacentral:RNase_P_RNA from 1 species
UAAGUAGAGUAAAUGAUCGCGGCCGCAGUAUUAGACUGCGGGUGAGGAAAGUCCGGGCUUCACAGGGCAGGAUGCCGGAUAACGUCCGGUGGAGGCGACUCCAAGGAUAGUGCAACAGAAAUAUACCGCCGGGGCUUUUUGCCACGGUAAGGGUGGAAGGGCAGUGUAAGGGACUACCGCCCCGCCGGUAACGGCGGGGGCAUAUGUAAACCCCAUCCGAAGCAAGACCGAAUAAAAGCGUUGACGUGGCCCGCCAGCUUUAGGUUGGUCGCUUGAGGCAGCCGGUAACGGCUGUCCUAGAUAGAUGAUCAUUCACGACAUAACCCGGCUUAUCGCUUUGCUUAUCUG